UGACAUUCUGAACAAUAUAUAUGACUCCGAUAUCUUUAUAUGACAUCCUGAACCAUAUAUAUAUAUAUAUGACUUCUUGAUAUCUUAUAUAACUUUAUGUGAAUAAUCUAUAUGACUUCAUAUCAAUAUAUAUGAUAUCCUAAAUAAUAUAUAUGACUUUCUAAUCUCUUAUAUACAUAUACACAAUAUAUAUAUAUAUAUGUGCGCGCGCGCAAACACACAC
rnacentral:lncRNA from 1 species